CGCUCGAAGAAGACUAACAACGAAAUGGGAAAUAUCUACUCAAUGUAUCCGACGAACACCGAAAGUACACGAAGGUUAAUGUGUUUACAAGUUCGACGACGAAAUUUUAAACAAAAAAAAACCAAACGUAACAUUGGAAUACAAACACCGGCUGAAGAGUGAGAGAGAUACGAAUGUCGGAACUUUCGCCGAUGCAGAAAGGUCUUAUUGAAAUGCAGAGGUACCCUCCGAAGUGGAAGUCACUUUCGGGAGUCCCGAAAUAACAGGCUAGCGGACAACGUGCGGAGAAUCCUUCGCUUCCUGAAACGGCCAUCGGGCGAGAUACGAAUUCGUAAUUGACAUGGUGGCACUCACUAUACGUCAGCUUUAUACCCAAGCAUUCUCCACGAACAAACAGGAGAAAACCUAAAUAAAAAUAACAUCCUCCGUU
rnacentral:lncRNA from 1 species